UACAGAGGGGGCAAGCGUUGUUCGGAAUUACUGGGCGUAAAGGGCGCGUAGGCGGCCUUCUAAGUCGAACGUGAAAUCCCCGGGCUCAACCCGGGAACUGCGUCCGAUACUGGAAGGCUUGAAUCCGGGAGAGGGAUGCGGAAUUCCAGGUGUAGCGGUGAAAUGCGUAGAUAUCUGGAGGAAUACCGGUGGCGAAGGCGGCAUCCUGGACCGGCAUUGACGCUGAGGAGCGAAAGCCAGGGGAGCAAAGCGGG
rnacentral:rRNA from 1 species